rnacentral:lncRNA from 1 species
GGAAAAGGAGGUGGGGUCUUAGUCUGUUUUGUGCUGCUAUAACAGAAUACCUGAGACUGGGUAAUUUAUUAUUAUCAUUAUUUAUUAUUAUUCUCUCUCCUAGGCUGGAGUGCAGUGGUAUGAUCUCAGCUCACCGCAACCUCCGCCUCCCGGGUUCAAGCGAUUCUCCUGCCUCAGCUUCCCCAGUAGCUGGAAUUACAGAGAUAGGGUCUCCCUGUGUUGCCCGGGCUUGUCUCAAACACCUGACCUCAAGUGAGCCUCCCGCCUCGGCCUCCCAAAGUGCUGGGAUUACAGGCGUGAGACACCACGCCCAGCCUCCUUCCAGUUUUGACCUUCUGAUCCACUUCAGCUGUUCUUGACCAUGGUGUCCUUCCCACUGACUUGUCACAUUAGCUGUGAGCUGCCUGUGUCACACGCGAUGAAGCUGACUACUGCAUAGGACAGCUUAUGUGCAUCACGUCACAUCUUCUCAGCCUCUUCUCUCUUAGUACAGCCACUACCCUGGGGUCCGUUCUGCACAAGUUUCAACCAGCUCUGCCCAAGCGUGAGCUGACAGCACCUCCCCUCCCCCAGUCUCCACCUCUAUCUUCCUGCCCUGGGAAUCACUCCACAUUCACCCAGAAGAAUUGUUGCCUGUGGGACAGCCUUGACCAAUGGGAGAUUGAAGCUGAUGAGUAAAUAUUUCCCCCUUUGGCCCCUGAGGGACAGUUCUGAGAUGCUUGACACAGGCCCUUCAGCGCUGGUGGCCAACUCAGCAGUGCAUCCUUGAUCUGGCUUUUGCUUCUUCCUUUGUUCCGCCCCUGCCCCUCACUCCUGCUCUCUGGGAUUGAAUUCCUAAGACAGCUCCCUGCUUGGGGUCUUUGUCUCAGGCUCUGCUUUAGGGGGAAUCCAGGCUAAGACAGUUUCCAAGCACCCAUGAUUGCAAAUAAUCCACUGUUUUGAUAAAUUCGGCCAAUUUUUUUUUUUUGGUGUGCAAAUAAAG